CAGGUGUACAUGAGUUCCCAACCCUGAACCCCCCUCCCAUCACCCUCCCCAUAUCAUCUUUCUGGGUCACCCCAGUGCACCAGCUCCAAGAUUCCUGUAUCCUGUAUCAAACCUAGACUGGCGAUUUGUUUCUUACAUGAUAGUACACAUGAUUCAAUGCGAUUCUCCCAAACCAUCGCACCCUCUCCCUCUCCCACAGAGUCCAAAAGUCUGUUCUUUACAUCUGUGUCUCUUUUUCUGUCUCGCAUACAGGGUUAUCAUUACCAUCUUUCUAAAUUCCAUAUGUAUGUGUUAGUAUACUGUAUUGGUGUUUUUCUUUCUGGUUUACUUCACUCUGUAUAAACGGCUCCAGUUUCAUCCACCUCAUUAGAACUGAUUCAAAUGUAUUCUUCUUAAUGGCUGAGUAAUAUACAUUGUGUAUAUGUACCACAGCUUUCUUAUCUGUUCAUCUGAUGAUGGACAUCUAGGUUGCUUCCAUGUCCUGGCUAUUAUAAACAGUGCUGCAAUGAACAUUGGGGUACACGUGUCUAUUUCAAUUCUGGUUUCGUUGAUGUGUAUGCCCAGCAGUGGAAUUGCUGGGUCAUAAGGCAGUUCUAUUUCCAGUUUUUUUAAGGAAUCGCCACACUGUUCUCCAUAGUGGCUGUACUAGUUUGCAUUCUCACCAACAGAGUAAGAGGGUUUCCUUUUCUCCACACCCUCUCCAGCAUUUAUUGCUUGUAGACUUUUGGAUCGCAGCCAUUCUGACUGGCAUGAAAUGGUACCUCAUUGGGGUUUUGAUUUGCAUUUCUCUGAUAAUGAGUGAUGUUGAGCAUCUUUUCAUGUGUUUGUUAGCCAUCCGUAUGUCUUCUUUGGAGAAAUGUCUAUUUAGUUCUUUGGCCCAUUUUUUGAUUGGGUCGUUUAUUUUUCUGGAAUUGAGCUGCAUAAGUUGCUUGUAUAUUUUUGAGAUUAGUUGUCAGUUGCUUCAUUUGCUAUUAUUUUCUCCCAUUUUGAAGGCAGUUGUUUCACCUUGCUUAAAGUUUCCUUUGUUGUGCAGAAGCUUUUAAUUUUAAUUAGGUCCCAUUUUUUUUAUUUUUGCUUUUAUUUACAAUAUCCUGGGGGUGGGUCAUAGAGGAUCCUGCUGUGAUUUAUGUAAGACUGUGUUUUGCCUAUGUUCUCCUCUAGAAGUUUUAUAGUUUCUAGUCUUAGGUUUAGACCUUUAAUCCAUUUUGAGUUUAUUUUUGUGUAUGGUGUUAGAAAAUGUUCUAGUUUCAUUCUUUUACAAGUGGUUCACCAGUUUUCCCAGCACCACUUGUUAAAGAGAUUUUCUUUUCUCCAUUAUAUAUUCUUGCCUCCUUUGUCAAUGAUAAAGUGUCCAUAGGUGCAUGGAUUUCUUUCUAGGCUUUCUACUUUGUUCCAUUGAUCUAUAUUUCUGUCUUUGUGCCAGUACCAUACUGGCAAAGCCACACUAGAGCUGUGGCUUUGUAGUAGAGCCUGAAGUCAGACAGGUUGAUUCCUCCAGGUCCAGUCUUCUUUCUCAAGAUUGCUUUGGCUAUUCGAGGUUUUUUGUAUAUCUGUACACAUUGUUAAAUUAUUUCUUCUAGCUCUGUGAAAAAUACCGUUGGUAGCUUGAUAGGGAUUGCAUUGAAUCUAUAGAUUGUUUUGGGUAGUAUACUCAUUUUCACUAUAUUGAUUCUUCCUAUCCUUGAACAUGAUGCAUUUCUCCAUAUAUUAGUGUCUUAUUUGAUUUCUUUCACCAGUGUUUUAUAGGUUUCUAUAUAUGUCUUUUGUUUCCUUAGGUAGAUAUAUUUCUUCAUAUUUUAUUCUUUUUGUUGCAAUGGCAAAUGGAAUUGUUUCCUUAAUUUCUCUUUCUAUUUUCUCGCUGUUAGUAUAUAGGAAUGCAAGGGAUUUCUGUGUGUUAAUUUUAUAUCCUGAAACUUUACUAUAUUCAUUGAUUAGCUCUAGUAAUUUUCUGGUGGAGUCCUUAGGGUUUUCUAUGUAGAGAAGACCAUGUCAUCUUCAAACAGUGAGGGACACCCAGAGAGGUUCACAGAGUUACAUGGAGAAGAGAAGAGGGAAGAGGGAGAUAGAGGUGACCAGGAGGAAAAGAGGGGGGAAUUAAAAGAGGAGAGAUCAAGCUAACCAGUAAUCACUUCCCUAUGUGCUCUCCACUGUCUGGACCCCUCAGAGAGGUUUGCAGAGUUACACAGAGAAGAGAAGAGGGAGGAAGGAGACAGAGGUGGCCAGGAGAAGAAAGAGGGAAUCAAAAGGAGAGAGGCAGAUCUGGCUAGUAAUCAGUUCCCUAAGUGUUCUCCACAGCCCAGAACACAAAGAGAUUCACAAAGUUGGGUAGCGAAGAGAAAGAGAGGGAGGAAAUAGAGGCGACCUGGUGGAGACAAAGGAGAGUCCAAAAGGGGAGAGAGCAGUCAAGACAAUAAUCUCACUCUCAAGUAAAAAUGGGUACUGAAGAUUGGGUCCUUAAAGGUACAAAAUUGAUAAUGAAUACCAAAAAGCAAAGAUUAAAGGUCUAGAGUAGAAGUUGGAUUUUCAAUGAUUCGGCUUAUAGCUCUCAAGC
rnacentral:lncRNA from 1 species